CCUACGGGGGGCAGCAGUGAGGAAUAUUGGUCAAUGGCCGUAAGGCUGAACCAGCCAAGUCGCGUGAAGGAAGAAGGUUUUCGGAUUGUAAACUGCUUUAGACAGGGAAGAAAAAUGACAGUACCUGUAGAAUAAGCUCCGGCUAACUACGUGCCAGCAGCCGCGGUUAUACGUAGGGAGCAAGCGUUAUUCGGAUUUAUUGGGUGUAAAGGGUGCGUAGGCGGAGAAGCAAGUUAGUUGUGAAAUUCCUCGGCUUAACUGAGGAACUGCAACUAAAACUACUUCCCUUGAGUACUGGAGAGGAAAGUGGGAUUCCUAGUGUAGCGGUGAAAUGCGUAGAUAUUAGGAGGAACACCAGUGGCGAAGGCGACUUUCUGGACAGUAACUGACGUUGAGGCACGAAAGUGUGGGGAGCAAACAGGAUUAGAUACCCCUGUAGUC
rnacentral:rRNA from 1 species